CUCUAUGGCCAUACUACCCUGAACACAUCUGAUCUUGGAAGCUAAGCAGGGUUGAGCCUGAUUAGUACCUGUAUGGGAGAUGGUAGUGU
rnacentral:rRNA from 1 species